rnacentral:rRNA from 1 species
UACGGAGGUUGCGAGCGUUGUUCGGAAUAACUGGGCGUAAAGGGAGCGCAGGCGGUUCGGCAAGUCUAAAGUGGAAGCCCGGGGCUUAACCUCGGAAGUGCUUUGGAUACUACCGGACUCGAGUUCGUAAGAGGAAAGCGGAAUUCCAGGUGUAGCGGUGAAAUGCGUAGAUAUCUGGAGGAACACCGGUGGCGAAAGCGGCUUUCUGGUACGAUACUGACGCUGAGGCUCGAAAGCAUGGGUAGCAAACGGGAUUAGAUACCCCGGUAGUCCAUGCCGUAAACGUUGUGCACUAGGUGUGGGAGGUAUCGACCCCUUCCGUGCCGCAGCUAACGCAUUAAGUGCACCGCCUGGGGAGUACGGUCGCAAGACUGAA